GUUCAUGAGGCUUGCAUAUUUAAUUGGAUAUGGAAUGGAUAUAGAAAGAAGUCCAGUCAACAGUGCUUCACUCAGCAUGCUACCUUGGCCUAAACCUGCAGUUUGGCCUUCACUUCCAGCUGAUGCUUCUUCUCAGGUGCUUGAUAAAGAAAAGGUGAUCCUUCAAGCUACUCCUAGAAGUAAGCACUUUGGCAUUCAAAGGAAAUCAUUGCCCCUUGAACCUUCUGUACUUCUGCGGGAGGCAAACCGGCGGAGGGCUUCCCUUUCUGCUGGGAACAUGUUUGAAAUGUUUGAUAGUCGCCCAAGCUUGAUUGAUGGAUCAACUCCAGAUGCUUCACCAUCGACAUCACCCUUGCAAAAAGCAAAUACAUUUUCUAUGCCGCGAACAAACUCUUCACCUGGCAAUUUUGACGGGUCAAUGGAUCGACCUAUGAGACUUGCUGAGAUUUAUGUUGCUGCUGAGCAUGCACUUAAGCGUACAAUUUCUAAUGCUGAUCUAUGGAAAUCCUUGUCAUCUUUAGAGGAGUUUGAGCAAAAAUACCUUGAGCUGACCAAAGGUGCUGCUGAUAACU
rnacentral:misc_RNA from 1 species